rnacentral:tmRNA from 1 species
ACGCUUUGUAGAGGACUUUCGGACGGGGGUUCGAUUCCCCCCGCCUCCACCA